GGCCUUACAUUUGGUCUUUAAUUGAUUUUGAGUUUUUCCCCCCCCCGUGGUGUUAGGAAGUAUUCUAAUUUCAUGAGCCUUUGCCUGUCUUUUGAUUACUCUGUUGAAUCUGAAAGAGCCUUGCUUGGUAGAUUUGCUUAAUAUAUGUCUCAGCAUUUUCCUCAGCACUUCCAGCCAGCCAACCGGCACAAGCACAGAAAGAAAAUCCGCCGCUGAUUACCACAAAAGGCUUUGAGACCUUUACUUCAACCUGGACGGGCGGGGGAGAAACGGGCAAGCGGCUCCGCGGAGCAACACUGCCCCCUGCAGACCACAGAAACCAAAAUGCCAGCAAGCCCGGAAGAAAAUCGAUCCUUCCCGCUGGGUUUUCGGGCAAAGGACUUAUGGGGAAUGCCCUUGAGGACCAAAGAAAGAAAGGGAACAUCUCGAAGGGGCCCGGGCCAACCGCCCCUGGACCGCGCGAGUUCCGCUCGACCCGCCCACAGAACCACAGCGAGGCGGGCAAGAAGUCAGGACGUCCAGGAAGAUCCGGAGUUGCUGAGGGCUGGUUCUGGGCCUGCCCUGGGGAGCAUUGAGGAAUUCCUCAACGAUGGGAAGCAAGACAAGGGUAACCACUCCUUCCACUACAUUCACUAUGUCAGCUUAUAUUAUGUUGUUGGAUUUUUAAGUGUCAGUGCGUCCGGCGAAAGUUCUCACAACGGGCUCUCUGAAGGGCUCAGACGCAGUCUGAAUCAGCCAACCGGCACAAGCGGAGGAAAACAAAAUAAAACCAAACCAGCUGUUUCUUGUGGCCAAAAGCUUCCUGUUAUUUUAUUAAAGCGCGAGGGCGGAGGAAAAAACCGGCCCGGCGACACUGUGGAGCAACACUGCCACCUGCAGGCUACAGAAACCAAAACGCCGCAAGCCCGGAAGAAAAUUCAUCGUUUCUGCUGGGUUUUCCCGCAGAGGACUGGACAGCGUGGACGCGAAAGUUAAGGGGGAUGCCCGUAAGGACCAGAGAAAGGAAGAGAAUCUCUCGACGGGGUCCGGCCAAACCACCCCUGGACAGCGAGCAGUCCGCGGAACCAUAGCAACACGGGCAGGAAGUUAGGGUGUCCGGGAAGAUCCGGAGCUUGGUGGGCGGGGCUGCACUCCGAUUGGCUGGCUCUGGGCAUGCGCGCAGCCACCCAGUGAGGCCCGUGCCAGUCUCUUGGCCCUGGUCGGCUGGGAGUUUUGUCUGGGAACUUGUUUGGAACUCUCCACUGAAGAACCUGACCGGUCGUGACGUCCGGGUCCUGUCGCCCACUGCCGAAGCCCCCCACGUGCGGGGACGUUACAAGUCCCCUGUCCAUUCUCCUCCCUCCCACCCCCGGCCUGUGAACGCGUUCCUCCCGUGGUACACUCGCUGUUCUCUCAGGCCUCACUCUUCUGAUCCCUCCUCAGUGCCCACGAGGCACACCCGGUCACCCCGGGAGACUUUUUGUCCUUAGCGAUGUUCCCUUCCUCCCUACCCGAGCAUCCCUCUGCCCACCGUCCCGCCCCGGGCAUCAAGAAAGACCGCGCCCCUCAUGCUGUCCUGUUUCCAGCCUUCCUCCCUGGCAUCACCCUCAACAUGACGUCCUGUCCUCCAGCUCCUUCGCACUACUGCCAGUGCACUGAUACCACAACCUCCUGGACACCUCCAGCUCACCGGCCACGCGUCCUUUCCCAGCAUGCACCAGGCCCCUCCUGGAUCGGCUGAGCCAGGGCUGGAAGCUUUCCCCCGCAAACACACCUCUCCCCGACAAACACACCUGUUGGGCUCCUUGCACCCUCCUGCCUGCCCACUCCCUGCCUGUGUCUGAGUACCUGAGCAUCGAGGAGAAAACUUUACAGAAGUGUUUUAUCUUGAAUCCAUGGCGGGAGUAGACCGCUGUUCAGUUUCAUGG
ensembl:lncRNA